rfam:Gregarina niphandrodes unplaced genomic scaffold scaffold00109, whole genome shotgun sequence.
GCGUUGGUGGUUUAGCGGUAGAAUGCCUUGUUGCCAUCGAGGCAGCUUGGGUCCGAUUCCCGACAAACGCA